rnacentral:rRNA from 1 species
AGCGAACGCUGGCGGCAGGCCUAAUACAUGCAAGUCGAACGCCCCUUCGGGGGAGUGGCGGACGGGUGAGUAACGCGUGGGAAUAUGCCCUAUGGUGCGGAACAACUGAGGGAAACUUCAGCUAAUACCGCAUGUGCCCUACGGGGGAAAGAUUUAUCGCACUAGGAGUAGCCCGCGUUGGAGUAGAUAGUUGGCGGGGUAAUGGCUCACAAAGGCUACGAUCCAUAGCUGGUCUGAGAGGAGGAGCAGCCACACUGGGACAGAGACACGGGCCAGACUCCUACGGGAGGCAGCAGUAGUGUAUCUUGCGCACUGGAGGAAAGCCUGACGCAGCCAUGCAACGUGAAUGAUGAAGGUCUUAGGAUUGUAAAAUUAUUUCACCGGGGACGAUAAUGACGGUACCCGGAGAAGAAGCUCCGGCUAACUUCGUGCCAGCCGCCGCGGUAAGAC